GUGUUGUAUGAAAGGAGAGAAGGCUAGCACUUCCCUUCACAAGUAUGGAAGAGGCUCUCUGGCCUGAUAACACAUACAGUUAAGGCAUUUCCACCUACUUCCUGGCAUCUAACCAUCAUCUUAU
rnacentral:ncRNA from 1 species